UACGUAGGUGGCGAGCGUUAUCCGGAAUUACUGGGCGUAAAGGGUGUGUAGGCGGGACUGCAAGUCAGAUGUGAAAAUUACGGGCUUAACCUGUAAACUGCAUUUGAAACUGUGGUUCUUGAGAGCCGGAGGGGUAAAUGGAAUUCCCAGUGUAGCGGUGAAAUGCGUAGAUAUUGGGAGGAACACCAGUGGCGAAGGCGAUUUACUGGACGGCAACUGACGCUGAGACACGAAAGCGUGGGGAGCAAACAGG
rnacentral:rRNA from 1 species